rnacentral:rRNA from 1 species
UACGUAGGGUCCGAGCGUUGUCCGGAAUUAUUGGGCGUAAAGAGCUCGUAGGCGGUUUGUCGCGUCUGCUGUGAAAACCUGAGGCUCAACCUCGGGCUUGCAGUGGGUACGGGCAGACUAGAGUGCGGUAGGGGUGACUGGAAUUCCGUGGUGUAGCGGUGGAAUGCGCAGAUAUCAGGAGGAACACCGAUGGCGAAGGCAGGUCACUGGGCCGCAACUGACGCUGAGGAGCGAAAGCAUGGGGAGCGAACAGG